GACAGAGGGUGCAAACGUUGUUCGGAAUUACUGGGCGUAAAGCGCGUGUAGGCUGCUUCGCAAGUCGGGUGUGAAAGCCCUGGGCUCAACCGUGGAAGUGCACUCGAAACUGCGUAGCUAGAGUCCUGGAGAGGAAGGUGGAAUGCUUGGUGUAGAGGUGAAAUUCGUAGAUAUCAAGCGGAACACCGGUGGCGAAGGCGGUCUUCUGGACAGUGACUGACGCUGAGAUGCGAAAGCGUGGGGAGCAAACAGG
rnacentral:rRNA from 1 species